AGUAGAGAAAAUAUUAGAAUGGAAGGGAAGAGAAAUGAAACUGAAUCAUCCGUCGUACGUAAUCAUUUCAUCGGAUAUUUACUUGGAGUGUUUUUGAGAUAUUCAUCUUACAGUGCGAUAUUAAAUCUACAGUCAAGUAUUAAUAUAGCAGAUGGAUUAGGCACGAUUUCUUUGUCUACAUCAUACAUAUCAUGCAAUAUAUUUCUCGUAUUUUUCACCACAAUACUUUUGAGAAAAUUUGGAGCGAAGAAAUGUUUGAUAGCAAGUGAAGUUACCUAAAUAAUUUACUUUCUUGCUAAUCUCUAUCCCGAAUUUUACACACUGAUACCAGCAGCGAUUCUAGUUGGAGCUGGUGAAGCAACGAUAUGGUUAUCAAUGACAUUGAUCAAUUUCUGUUUUGCCACAAAAUAUGCGACUCUGAAAAAACACAAAUAUAAAGAAAACGAAUUCUUCGUCAAUCUUUACUCGGGAUAUUUUUUCACUUGUAUUCAGUUUUGCCAGAAUUGUCAUACACGAGUUCAGGAUGAUAUCACCAAACAGUGUGGAAUACUGCUACAUCAAGUCAUCAAACCAUUACUGGGAUCCCACGUUUAC